CAGGACCCUGCUAAGCCAAGCUCAGAUUCUCGACCUACAGAAACUAUGAAAUAAUAAAUAUUGUCUUAGGCCACUGAUUUCUGGGUUAAACUGUUAUGCAGCAAUAAACAAAUACACCAACUAAAGAAAAAGUUUCUUUAAAGAAUUAAAGAAGAUUUGUUGUUGUUGCUGCAUUUAAUGUUUUGAAGAUUCUUGCUGUAACUGGAUAAGAUGAGCAUUUAUUUCAGUUAUCAUAGAAACAAACUCAGUGCAAUGACUGGGAUGACUAAAAGAUGGCCAUAAGAGAGGAGACAGGCUGUAUUCCACGUCCAAUUCCCAGUGAAUACAACAACAAAAGAAUUAUUAUUUCAGUAGUACUAGCACUUCCUUUCUUAGCUACCAUGGAUCAGCUUGCAGCACACCAACCCUCUUGCAAUGAACCACUUGCAAAGAACUGCUAGAAAAGAUGUAAAAAAUACACACCCACACAUACACACAAAACCUACAUCUGUGUAGAGGCAUCAGAAGCUAAAGACAGCCAGCACUUGAAGGGCCAAGAAAAGAGCUCCCUGAGGUGAGUACAAUAUCCUAUGUGAUUUCUUCCCGCAAAGGCAUUUGCCAACUCCCAGACAGAACAGGUGGAGAGGUUGAAAAGCUGAGUAGAAAGCAACGACUAGGAGG
rnacentral:lncRNA from 1 species